UGCCUGAAAAAUAAAAACAAACACAUCUUGAAAGGCACCAGUCACGCAAAUGCAGCUGAUAUGAAAAAGCAGAUAGAGUCACUGCAGCGUCAGCACGACGCGCUCCUCGUGUAAACAUUCACACACUCCACACCGCGUCUUCACAACGUCAAUACGGCUUCAACAGGGGCGGGAUUAGCUUGCCGAUUACCGUCGAGCGUCUUUACAGAGCGAAGCCUCACACUGUAGGGCAAAAGCAUAUCCCACCAAUCACUCAGCGGGCCUUCAAACAGCCCUCUUCCUCUUGGUGUAAUACCUGCUCAGCAUAGUGAGCUAGAUGCAUGGCUAAUGUAAGCUCAGCCCACGCCUGGGGCUAAAGCUCCAUGCACUAACUUGCUUACAGGCUGCAGCAGGAUGCAAACAGCUGAUAAUGACGAGGCACAUCCACAGCAGUCAAGCCUUUGUUGUCUGACGUGAUCUUUUCUAAAAGUUUAUGAGAUGGAGCAGGGUUAAAGAAGAAGUCUGAAGCUGGUUUAUUUAGGAGUAAAAUAGACUGAAUCAUCCUAGAUGUAUUUAUUAUUUAGCCCAUUAUCUUUUCAGCCUCAUAUUUAACAAAACUGUAAAUACAGUUGAUUUAUUCCAGCUGUGGUUCAGACAUUUAGUGUGGGAAUAGAUUUUCCUGUGAUCAGAUCAAUCAGCUGUUGGCUCCGCGACACUUAAGAGUCAGUGUAAACAGCGGCGGCAGCAUUAAUCUGACAAAAGGAUGGAUGAAAGGAGGCGUUUUAGGGCUUAUGGUAUUAUCUCUCCUCAGUCUCUUUUAUUUCUGUACAGGAUGGUUCAGCGUCAGUCAUCCUGACACGGUUAACAAUUCAAAAUAAAUAAGAUUUUAAAUCAGAACUUAAUAGUUCAAAGUAAAAUUUAACCCUUUUUUAAAGUUAACCCUGCAGCUUUUAUGAAAUUUUAACCAAUUUACUUCAUUCUAAUUUCAAUCUGAUGCUUUCAUGACAAAACCAGCCCAGGACCUCAUGAAGACUUUCGGUUAAACCAAGUAUUUAUUUUUGCUGUCUCCCGCCACAGUCGCACGUUGCCGAGCGAGCAGCAGGAGUAUGGGACCGCGGCGUUACUGAUGACAAAAGGCAGAAACGUGGAUUUGUGCGCAUGUGGACACCGGCGAGCGUGUGGACAUUUGUGAUACUCCAAGCCGGCAGAUGUAUGUAAUUUCAUUUAAGAGGAGGGGGGAGGAAACGAGCGAAUGAAAGGAAGCUUCAGGAUUUAAGCUGAAUCGGGGGCUCGUGGAUUACUGUAGUCAACUUUGAAAUGGACGACACUCGGAGGGGGGAUAAAGCCUGCGCUGACAGGUCAUUGUGCUGCCUCCAAGUCAAAUAAAACAAGCAAAUAAUAAUGGCAAAUAUUAAGCUCCUGUGACAUUGUGGCGAGGCGGGCUGGAAGACGAGGGGGAUUAUAAAGCUAUAUCCCCCACCGAUAGCCAGACAGCAGCCACGUUUCCUGAAAAGCAGGAAGGGAGGGAGAGGAGGAGGCAGAGAGGUCAGAGGAAAGGUGGGAUAAAGGAGACAAAGAAGGAGAAAAGGAGGUGAGGAAGAGGUAAAAGGAAGGAGGAGUGGAUGGGUGAGGAGAGAGGACAGCUGCUCAGCAUCCUUCAGGAUUGAAGUCUGACCUCCUGAUGCCACCUGACUCUUAGAGACAGAGCUCUAUUUCCUGUUUGAGCCUCAACUUUAUGCUAACGUGUUUGUAAAAGAUGAAUUAGUAAAGUAAAUGUUUCUGAUCUCUUCCAUUACUGAAAAGCAAUCAUUGAUUACAUAAUAAGAGAUUGAGAUUGAUAAUAAGAGUAAAAACCUGAAUGUUUUUCACAACCAGAAACUGGAGUGAGCUCUUCUAUAUGCUUCCAUAUGCUCCAAACAGGAAAACUGCUGAAUGUUGUUUCGUAUGAAGACAAACGGGGUAAAUAUCCCUGGCAAGCAGCGCUGACUCUGUCUGUGAAUCCAGCCUUUGGCUCUGAGACACUGUGGAUCCAUGCUGGCUCUCUGGGGACCAUCUUGGAUCAAAGCAUCUGCCAGCUUGGCAGGUGGCAUCCAGAGUCUUGCUGCUCGCCUCAUACGCCACUCCUCAGCGCUCAACACGGAGCAGGAGCGGGCCAAACCCGGCCCAGGCCGAAGUAUGAAAACUGGCACCGAUGCCAUGUUUGAUCAGAACAUCAAAGCCUGAGAGGAACGCGCCUGAUGGAGACAAACGGGCUUUCCUCACCUACAGAAAACUCUAUCACCUCUAAUAUCGCCUUUAGUGUCCGCUGCCCGUGUGGGGAGGAACACAGAAGAUAGGAUCAUCUGAGACACACACACACGGACCUGAGAUACAACUGAUAGACAUAUUCCAACAACCCCGCUGUCUGAUUGCCUCUUCUCUUGUUUCACUCCGUCCCACAAAACAAGAUAAGAUGAUACAAACGGAAUGGGUGGAGGGAGAAGGCUGGUGGAUCGCCACCAGUUAAAAUCCAUCUGAGACAUAGUUAAGGAGAAGCAAAGAGUCCACAGGGAGCCUCUGUAGCCAAAUUAGAGUGAGACAGCCAUCACCCCGAGGUGGUCAGUCUGCUCUUCACAUUCAGCGGGUUAAUAAUUAUUAUGUUUACUAAUUUAUUCAAUGUUUUUUUUAGCAAUGAGAUGUUAAAAUGCUUGGCUCUGAUGCCAUUUGCAUCCAAUGCAGGCAGGAAUUGGUGCCUAAGUAUGACAAAUAACCAAUUUUGAUCUGUUUUAAAGGUGAUUAAAUGUAAAACUGGAGAUCUAACUGAUCGCUUUAUUUGCUUAAAUAUGAUGAAUUCCAUUAACAGGAUGAAAUGCUGCAUCUGUUUCAUGCCUGGAACGUCGUCCCUUGAAGGACGGAUCUUGGAUAACAGAUGCAAAUGAAAGGAAACAGAAAGAGAAACGCAUUAAAAGCUGUGAUCACAGCACGUUCAUCUCAUUUCUUAUCCCACCAUUUUGUCAUUUAAUCCAAUAGCUGCUAAUCCAAUUUGUGUAUCGGACAUGUAUAAAAGAGGGGAGGAGGAGGGGAGGAGGAGAACGACUAGGGGGAGGGAAAGGGAGGAGAUAAAGUCGAACUUGUCUCGUGGGUUGGAGUCACUUUUUUAGUUGUAGUUUAUUUAAGGCUCGAGAGGCGCGUGAGUCUCCCCCAUCGCUCUCUCCAUCCCAGCGUUGGAUAUCAGCGGGAGAUCAGGGAAGAUGAAAGCCAAACUCGCAUAAAAGGAAACGAGAAAAGAAGGAAUAAAAAGAACAGGAUGAACAUUGUUUCCUGUGAUUAGGCUGUUGAACGAAGAAAGGCAGGAAAGCGCCAGAAUCGAGAGCUUUCUGCAAGGCCAGAGCACUUCAGCUCGACAGAGCCCUCCAGGAUGUCUGUAGCUGUGUGAGGGGAGAGGAAACAGGAGUAGAGGAGAGGAGAGGAGAGGCUAUUCCUGUUCAUAAUCUCAUGACAAAAGGCAAAAAGGCAUCAUCCUAUUACCAGCAUGAUCUUCACCAGCUCGUGUUAGCUGCUUUCCACAGGGGGCUCUCUUUAUUAUUAAGAUCGUGCUACAACACCAACAGGGAGAGAUUCAAAAUGAUAACCUGGAAAACUCUACACCCGUUUGGAUCUGGUUCCAUUUUAAUUCCCCCCAACUCCCAUCGCUCCUGGAUGAAGGAUGUGCCUUGGAAAUGACAAUACUGAGUUUUUAAAACCAAGUCCUGGUGGAUGACAUCAUUGCCACAAAUAACAUCUGUAUUUCUGAGUACAAGCCUAAAUAAAUUCUUUAGAAACUAAA